GUUUGGUUUGCAUUAUACUAUACCGGCACUAGACUAGACUGUACAGACGAGUUGGAGUUAUACAGUUUACAGAUAAAAAUGAGAACUCCACAGCGUAAGAAAGGAGGAAAGGGGGGAGUAAACCCAAAGAUUGAAGUCAACAAACUCCGGAAGAAAGCAAUGAAAAACAAAAUGAUGAAGAAAACCAUGUUAACUCUGGCUGGAGACGAUACAAGGGAAGACUUUAAGGAUCUGAUAAAUGAGAGUACAGUAUCC